GACAGAGGUGCCGAGCGUUAGGCGGAAUCACUGGGCUUAAAGCGUGUGUAGGCGGGUCGUUAAGUGCCUUGUGAAAUCCCACGGCUCAACCGUGGAACUGCUGGGCAUACUGGCGAUCUUGAGCCAGCUAGGGGCAACCGGAACAAACGGUGGAGCGGUGAAAUGCGUAGAUAUCGUUUGGAACGCCAAUGGUGAAAACAGGUUGCUGGGGCUGUGCUGACGCUGAGACACGAAAGCGUGGGGAGCGAACAGG
rnacentral:rRNA from 1 species